GUUCCAUUAACUUGGGGUUACCACAGUAUAUUGUGUACUGUAAGAGUUGUAGUAUAGCCUUGAAGCUCGUUUAUGCAUUAUUGUUAUUGUAAUUCGGCUGGGACAAAAUGGCGCAAACAUAUUAUGCACUGAGGUUAUUGCUUAAAGAAACAGUUAUGAAAAACAAUAUGUUCAAUUUCUAACACCUUGUCAGUUUGCAAUAUCUCUUAAAGACAAAGUACACAGUUUAAGAAAUACAACAUUUCAUUCUAAAACUUGUAAUAUUUACAUUUGCCCAUAACACCCUCUCCAUUAAACUGUGGGCAUUGUAGCGUAUUUCUUCCUUAAAUUAGUGAACCAAAGUUCUCCAACAGUCUUUAGGUUUUUUUGUGCUCCCAGCAUCUUUGAUCAUUGUUGUAACAUCCGUAGUGUGAUCUUUGCCUGUAAAGGUGGUUGAUUAAAAUGAGCAAAACUUUUGUCCGGGAAAGAAUUGAAAAGAACACCAAGUUCCAGAGUAAUAUAUU